rnacentral:rRNA from 1 species
UAAGUAAAUAGUGAAAGCGUUCGGCUCAACCGGAUAAACAUUAUUUAAACUGCAAGCUAGAGUAUAUGAGAGGUCACUGGAAUUUCUAGUGUAGGAGUGAAAUCCGUAGAUAUUAGAAGGAACACCGAUGGCGUAGGCAGGUGACUGGCAUAUUACUGACGCUAAGGCACGAAAGCGUGGGGAGCGAACCGGAUUAGAUACCCGGGUAGUCCACGCCGUAAACGAUGGAUGCUA